GCCAGACUCCUACGGGAGGCAGCAGUGGGGAAUAUUGCACAAUGGGGGAAACCCUGGUGCAGCGACGCCGCGUGAGCGACGAAGUAUUUCGGUAUGUAAAGCUCUAUCAGCAGGGAAGAAAAUGACGGUACCUGACUAAGAAGCCCCGGCUAACUACGUGCCAGCAGCCGCGGUAAUACGUAGGGGGCAAGCGUUAUCCGGAUUUACUGGGUGUAAAGGGAGCGUAGACGGCAGUGCAAGUCCGGAGUGAAAGCCCGGGGCUCAACCCUGGGACUGCUCUGGAAACUGUAAAGCUGGAGUGCGGGAGGGGCAGGCGGAAUUCCUGGUGUAGCGGUGAAAUGCGUAGAUAUCAGGAGGAACACCGGCGGCGAAGGCGGCCUGCUGGACCGUAACUGACGUUGAGGCUCGAAAGCGUGGGGAGCAAACAGGAUUAGAUACCCCAGUAA
rnacentral:rRNA from 1 species